CGUGUAGGCGGUUGGUCAAGUCUGGUGUGAAAGCCCGGGGCUUAACCCCGGAAGGGCACUGGAAACUAGCCAGCUGGAGCGCGAGAGAGGAGGGUGGAAUUCCUGGUGUAGCGGUGAAAUGCGUAGAUAUCAGGAGGAACACCGGCGGCGAAGGCGGCCCUCUGGCUCGUUGCUGACGCUGAGACGCGAAAGCGUGGGGAGCAAACAGGAUUAGAUACCCUGGUAGUCCACGCUGUAAACGAUGGGUACUAGGUGUUCGGGGUAUUGACCCCCUGAGUGCCGGCGCUAACGCAUUAAGUACCCCGCCUGGGGACUACGGCCGCAAGGUUAAA
rnacentral:rRNA from 1 species